AAAGGAAUUGACGGGGAGCACCACAACGGGUGGAGCUUGCGGUUUAAUUGGAUCAAGCGAAUCUUACCGGGACCGACAGCAAUAUGAAGGCCAGGCUGAAGACUUUGCCGGAUUAGCUGAGAGGUGGUGCAUGGCCGUCGUCAGUUCGUACUGUGAAGCAUCCUGUUAAGUCAGGCAACGAGCGAGACCCACGCCCACAGUUGCCAGCGUACUCUCUGGAGUGACGGGUACACUGUGGGACCGCCGCUGCUAAAGCGGAGGAAGGAAUGGGCAACGGUAGGUCAGUAUGCCCCGAAUAUCCCGGGCUACACGCGAGCUACAAUGGUUGGUACAAUGGGUAUCUACCCCGAAAGGGGACGGGAAUCUCCUAAAACCAAUCUUAGUUCGGAUUGAGGGCUGCAACUCGCCCUCAUGAAGCUGGAAUCCGUAGUAAUCGCGUUUCAACAGAACGCGGUGAAUACGUCCCUGCUCCUU
rnacentral:rRNA from 1 species